rnacentral:tRNA from 1 species
GCCCUGGAAGUAUUGAUUUGCCUGAUCGAAAUAAAAAUCCCUGUGGGGACUGAAAAUCCCCGUGUCGGCGGUUCGACUCCGUCCCUGGGCACCA